AUGCCGGUCGCCGUGGCUGCCUCCGGCGACACAAACGUCGUGGAGGACCUCUACGGCAUCCUCCGUGUACUCAGCGACGGCACGGUUGUCCGGUCACCGGACCCGCCGGAGUUUUGCCCCAUCACCUUCCCCUGCGACCACCCUUCCGUGCAGUGGAAGGAGGCCGUCUACGAUAAGGGCAAGAACCUCCGCGUCCGCAUGUACAAGCCGUCGGGCGGCGGUGAGCAGGCCGGCCGGAAGCUGCCGGUGCUCGUCCACUUCCAUGGCGGGGGCUUCUGUCUCGGCUCGUGCACGUGGGGAAACUUCCACAGCUUCUGCCUCCGCCUCGCCGCGGAGGCCGGCGCCGUCGUGCUCUCCGCCGGGUACCGCCUCGCUCCGGAGCACCGCCUCCCCGCGGCCCUCGACGAUGCGACCGGCUUCUUAGAAUGGCUCCGCGAGCAAUCCGUGAGCACCGAGGCCGAGGACGGGUGGCUCACGGAGGCGGCCGACUUUGGCCGCGUGUUCAUCACCGGCGACUCGGCGGGCGGGACCUUAGCGCACCACCUCGCCGUGCGCGCCGGGUCGGCCACGCCCAAACACGGCGAUGACGUCGACUCUGUCACGAUCAAAGGCUACAUCCUGCUAAUGCCGUUCUUCGGCGGCGUGGACCGGACGCGGUCGGAGGCGCUGGAGUUCCUGUUGGCGGAAGAGCCGUUCCUCAACCUGGCCGUGCUGGACCGAUUCUGGCGGCUCUCGCUGCCGGAGGGCGCCAGCAGGGACCACCCGAUCGCGAACCCGUUCGGGGCGGACAGCCCUGGGCUGGGCUCGGUGGAGUUCCCGCCGGUCCUCGUCGUUUCCAGCGGCACCGACUUGCUGCACGACCGCACCGUCGACUACGCGGAGCGGCUGGCCGGGAUGGGGAAGCCGGUGAAGGUCGUGGAUUUCCCCAACGACCCACACGGGUUCUUCACGCAGGACCCGUGGUCCGAGACCACCGGCGAGCUGAUCCGGCUCGUCAGCGUGUUCGUCGUCGACAGCUGCGUCUCCGUCGCGGCGCCAAAGACCGCUUGA
rnacentral:rRNA from 1 species